GUGGGGAAUAUUGGGCAAUGGGGGAAACCCUGACCCAGCAAUGCCGCGUGAGGGAAGAAGGUUUUCGGAUUGUAAACCUCUGUCCUUGGUGACGAAGGAAGUGACGGUAAACAAGGAGGAAGCCCCGGCUAACUACGUGCCAGCGGCCGCGGUAAUACGUAUGGCGCAAGCGUUGUCCGGAAUGACUGGGCGGAAAGGGCGUGUAGGCGGCCGUUUAAGUCUGGAGUGAAAGUCCUGCUUUCAAUGUGGGAAUUGCUUUGGAGACUGGUUGGCUUGAGUGCGGCAGCGGUAAGUGGAAUUCCCAGUGUAGCGGUGAAAUGCGUAGAGAUUGGUAGGAACACCAGUGGCGAAGGCGACUUACUGGGCCGUAACUGACGCUGAGGCGCGAAAGCGUGGGGAGCGAACAGGAUUAGAAACCCGAGUAGUCC
rnacentral:rRNA from 1 species